GAGGGGAGUGAAAAAGAACCUGAAACCGUGUACGUACAAGCAGUGGGAGCCCCACCACCAAAGCAUUUGCUGUACCGCGUUGACGGAGCGAAGCGACGUCAAACCGAUAAAACAGCAGUGUAAAGUGAGCCGCAGGGCGCUUUGCGCGACAGCGCAAAGGCAGGCGGUUUCGCGUAGCGAAAGCGAAUGCUUUGGGGUGGGGUGACUGCGUACCUUUUGUAUAAUGGGUCAGCGACUUAUAUUCUGUAGCAAGGUUAACCGAAUAGGGGAGCCGGAGGGAAACCGAGUCUUAAUUGGGCGUUAAGUUGCAGGGUAUAGACCCGAAACCCGGUGAUCUAGCCAUGGGCAGGUUGAAGGUUGGGUAACACUAACUGGAGGACCGAACCGACUAAUGUUGAAAAAUUAGCGGAUGACCUGUGGCUGGGGGUGAAAGGCCAAUCAAACCGGGAGAUAGCUGGUUCUCCCCGAAAGCUAUUUAGGUAGCGCCUCGUGAAUUCAUCUCCGGGGGUAGAGCACUGUUUCGGCUAGGGGGCCAUCCCGGCUUACCAACCCGAUGCAAACUGCGAAUACCGGAGAAUGUUAUCACGGGAGACACACGGCGGGUGCUAACGUCCGUCGUGAAGAGGGAAACAACCCAGACCGCCAGCUAAGGUCCCAAAGUCAUGGUUAAGUGGGAAACGAUGUGGGAAGGCCCAGACAGCCAGGAUGUUGGCUUAGAAGCAGCCAUCAUUUAAAGAAAGCGUAAUAGCUCACUGGUCGAGUCGGCCUGCGCGGAAGAUGUAACGGGGCUAAACCAUGCACCGAAGCUGCGGCAGCGACACUGUGUGUUGUUGGGUAGGGGAGCGUUCUGUAAGCCUGUGAAGGUGUGUCGUGAGGCAUGCUGGAGGUAUCAGAAGUGCGAAUGCUGACAUAAGUAACGAUAAAGCGGGUGAAAAGCCCGCUCGCCGGAAGACCAAGGGUUCCUGUCCAACGUUAAUCGGGGCAGGGUGAGUCGACCCCUAAGGCGAGGCCGAAAGGCGUAGUCGAUGGGAAACGGGUUAAUAUUCCCGUACUUGGUGUUACUGCGAAGGGGGGACGGAGAAGGCUAUGUUGGCCGGGCGACGGUUGUCCCGGUUUAAGCGUGUAGGUGUGUGUUCCAGGUAAAUCCGGUUCACUUUAACACUGAGGCGUGACGACGAGGCACUACGGUGCUGAAGCAACAAAUGCCCUGCUUCCAGGAAAAGCCUCUAAGCAUCAGGUAACAUCAAAUCGUACCCCAAACCGACACAGGUGGUCAGGUAGAGAAUACCAAGGCGCUUGAGAGAACUCGGGUGAAGGAACUAGGCAAAAUGGUGCCGUAACUUCGGGAGAAGGCACGCUGACACGUAGGUGAAGUGAUUUACUCAUGGAGCUGAAGUCAGUCGAAGAUACCAGCUGGCUGCAACUGUUUAUUAAAAACACAGCACUGUGCAAACACGAAAGUGGACGUAUACGGUGUGACGCCUGCCCGGUGCCGGAAGGUUAAUUGAUGGGGUCAGCGCAAGCGAAGCUCCUGAUCGAAGCCCCGGUAAACGGCGGCCGUAACUAUAACGGUCCUAAGGUAGCGAAAUUCCUUGUCGGGUAAGUUCCGACCUGCACGAAUGGCGUAAUGAUGGCCAGGCUGUCUCCACCCGAGACUCAGUGAAAUUGAACUCGCUGUGAAGAUGCAGUGUACCCGCGGCAAGACGGAAAGACCCCGUGAACCUUUACUAUAGCUUGACACUGAACAUUGAGCCUUGAUGUGUAGGAUAGGUGGGAGGCUUUGAAGUGUGGACGCCAGUCUGCAUGGAGCCGACCUUGAAAUACCACCCUUUAAUGUUUGAUGUUCUAACGUGGACCCGUUACCCGGGUUGCGGACAGUGUCUGGUGGGUAGUUUGACUGGGGCGGUCUCCUCCUAAAGAGUAACGGAGGAGCACGAAGGUUGGCUAAUCCUGGUCGGACAUCAGGAGGUUAGUGCAAUGGCAUAAGCCAGCUUGACUGCGAGCGUGACGGCGCGAGCAGGUGCGAAAGCAGGUCAUAGUGAUCCGGUGGUUCUGAAUGGAAGGGCCAUCGCUCAACGGAUAAAAGGUACUCCGGGGAUAACAGGCUGAUACCGCCCAAGAGUUCAUAUCGACGGCGGUGUUUGGCACCUCGAUGUCGGCUCAUCACAUCCUGGGGCUGAAGUAGGUCCCAAGGGUAUGGCUGUUCGCCAUUUAAAGUGGUACGCGAGCUGGGUUUAGAACGUCGUGAGACAGUUCGGUCCCUAUCUGCCGUGGGCGCUGGAGAACUGAGGGGGGCUGCUCCUAGUACGAGAGGACCGGAGUGGACGCAUCACUGGUGUUCGGGUUGUCAUGCCAAUGGCACUGCCCGGUAGCUAAAUGCGGAAGAGAUAAGUGCUGAAAGCAUCUAAGCACGAAACUUGCCCCGA
rnacentral:rRNA from 1 species